AACGAACGCUGGCGGCAUGCCUAACACAUGCAAGUCGAACGAGAUCUUCGGGUCUAGUGGCGCACGGGUGCGUAACGCGUGGGAAUCUGCCCUUUGGUUCGGAAUAACAGUUGGAAACGACUGCUAAUACCGGAUGAUGACGAAAGUCCAAAGAUUUAUCGCCAGAGGAUGAGCCCGCGUAGGAUUAGCUAGUUGGUGUGGUAAGGGCGCACCAAGGCGACGAUCCUUAGCUGGUCUGAGAGGAUGAUCAGCCACACUGGGACUGAGACACGGCCCAGACUCCUACGGGAGGCAGCAGUGGGGAAUAUUGGACAAUGGGCGAAAGCCUGAUCCAGCAAUGCCGCGUGAGUGAUGAAGGCCUUAGGGUUGUAAAGCUCUUUUACCCGGGAUGAUAAUGACAGUACCGGGAGAAUAAGCUCCGGCUAACUCCGUGCCAGCCGCCGCGGUAAUAC
rnacentral:rRNA from 1 species